UCGAGCGGCAGCGCGGGGGCAACCCUGGCGGCGAGCGGCGAACGGGUGAGUAAUGCAUCGGAACGUGUCCGGGAGUGGGGGAUAACCCGCCGAAAGGCGGGCUAAUACCGCAUAUGCUCUUUGGAGGAAAGGGGGGGACCGCAAGGCCUCCCGCUUUCGGAGCGGCCGAUGUCCGAUUAGCUAGUUGGUGGGGUAAUGGCUUACCAAGGCGACGAUCGGUAGCUGGUCUGAGAGGAUGAUCAGCCACACUGGGACUGAGACACGGCCCAGACUCCUACGGGAGGCAGCAGUGGGGAAUUUUGGACAAUGGGGGCAACCCUGAUCCAGCCAUGCCGCGUGCGGGAAGAAGGCCUUCGGGUUGUAAACCGCUUUUAGCCGGGAAGAAAAGGCAGGGGCUAACACUCUCUGUUCUUGACGGUACCGGCGGAAUAAGCACCGGCUAACUACGUGCCAGCAGCCGCGGUAAUACGUAGGGUGCGAGCGUUAAUCGGAAUUACUGGGCGUAAAGCGUGCGCAGGCGGUUCGUUAAGUCUGAUGUGAAAGCCCCGGGCUCAACCUGGGAAUGGCAUUGGAUACUGGCGGGCUUGAGUGUGGCAGAGGGGGGUGGAAUUCCGCGUGUAGCAGUGAAAUGCGUAGAGAUGCGGAGGAACACCGAUGGCGAAGGCAGCCCCCUGGGCUGACACUGACGCUCAGGCACGAAAGCGUGGGGAGCAAACAGGAUUAGACACCCUGGUAGUCCACGCCCUAAACGAUGAUCACUGGGUGUUCGGGGAGCGAUCUCUGGGUACCGUAGCUAACGCGUGAAGUGAUCCGCCUGGGGAGUACGGUCG
rnacentral:rRNA from 1 species